ACCGCUGGACGAGCUCACCGACAGCUAGAGGACGGCAGUGGGUGAAGGCAGCGUCCAGUAACGCUCGGUAGAGCUCCCGCGGCACACAACUCAACCAACACGGCGAGGAGCUGUGGUCACUCACCACCUCCCGGGCGCACAGCUUCACCAAAGACUGCACCAUCUGUGCACAGAAUGCCCCGGAAAUCACCUCGAUGUUUUCAAAGCAGGAUGAGCUGGUCUCCAAUGGGUUUUUAUUCGUCUCAGCCAAUGCCUAAAUGAGUCAAUGUAAGACCUUGUCCAAUCAGCUCUCUUGGAAUUCUCUUGAAAGUCUCUUAGUUCUUUAGAGGCAAAUGGAAGUUGUAAAAUUAACCCUCCUCAGCCCACAGUAGACCAAAGUAAAAAA